rnacentral:lncRNA from 12 species
GGCCGCGGGCGGUGUCUGCGUCCUGGGGGCGGGCCCAGCCCGGCUCCGCCCUCCCCGCCCGCCCGCCCGCCGGCCUGCUGGCUCCCUGCAGCGGACGCUGUCUCGGCUCCACCUUCCCGCCUUCCCGCCCUGGGCCAGGGGACAGGAUCCCGGGACGGCUCUCCCUGCACCCCUGCACUCCUGCACCCCGGGCGGCAGGACGGCUUCCAAGCUCUGCCCACCUCCCCCCGCUGACCCCGGGGCUGCGUCCCCAGGCAGGGCAGGCACGGGGGCUCCUCCAGGGGCUGGGUCCCGGAGACAGCUGGGGGCCCGGGGCCUGUGCUCGAGGGGGGGCAGGAGACCCGGCCACGGAGAGCAGCCAGGCCGGGGCCGCCCACCGGUGCCAAACUGCCCCUCAAAAGACGCUCAGCGUCGCGGUUCUUGUGCAGCAAGCGUCGCCUCUGAGACGUCGACGGUGCAGCCCCCGAGGGCAGCAGUGCACCCCCCGGGCCACGGCUCAGAGGCAGGGCACCCCCGUGCUGGACGCACCCCCAUGGCUCCGCCGUCCUGAGGGCGUCCUAGCUAACCUGAGCCGCCCAGGGUGCAGAACACUGCCACGCGGGGGGCCGGGGGGGCCGUGGGGCCUGUGGGCACUGGAGGUGCAGACCGUGUGUAGACGCGCCGCGGAUGGCACUGGGUGGGGGGGGGUCCCUGGGCAGCCGGGCGGCAGAGGCGGGUGGGACCCGCGGGGCCAAGGUCGCGUCUCCGGGCUGCUGGGCUGGCGGGAGCGGGGGCUGCAGUCUCUGAAAUAUCUGAGAUUCCAGUGGGUUCCUCCUCUGCGGCCUGGAGCGUGAGAACCGCGCAGGAGGGCCUGCCUCCCAGCCGGGGCCCCACAGCCCUGGUCCUCGGCGUCCGUGAAGAAGACAAGCGGCUGGGGCGCCCGGGGGCUCAGCAGCUGAGCAUCUGCCUUCGGCCCAGGGCGCGACCCCGAGGUCCUGGGAUCGAGUCCCGCGUCGGGCUCCCUGCAUGGAGCCUGCUUCUCCCUCCGCCUGUGUCUCUGCCUCUCUCUCUCUCUCUCUUUUUGAAUAAAUAUGUAAAAUCUUUAAAGGAAAAAAAAGGAAGAAGAAGACAAGCGGGAGACCCCCCCGCUGCAGGGCGGCAGACCUGGCCUUGCCUGGCGCUGGCCUCCCAGCCUCACGGCCACUCCCGCGUCGGGGAGGGGGGCGCAGUCGAGGGCGCCGAGCGGUACCCGGUUCCCCGAGUUGCUAAGUCAAACCCGCCGGCUGAGGAGCUGCGCGCGGCUGACCUUGCUGAGGUUGCUCCGCACCCCGCGGUGGAGGCAGCAGACGCGGCGCAUUCUCUCGCAGCCUCAGCAAAUUUGCCUUCAGGCCCGUGUGACCCGGACGGCCCCACCGGGUGGCCCGGCCUCCGCAUGCACGGGGCCGUCCCCGCAGGAACUGGGGGCUGUCGGGCACCCCCCGGGGGACGCGGGCGAGAGCGGGCUACCCCGACGAGGCGGGUCAGCGCGGGCCGGCCUCCGGGGCCUUCCCGACCAGAAAGGGGGGACAACACCGUCCCACGUGCUGGUGCUCAUCGGCUGCCUGCACAGGUGGCCGUGAACCGCCCUGGCCGGGAGCUUGCCAUUGCCCAGGGCAGCAACUGCUGCCCCCCUGUGGGCCCCGGGGCAGGGGGACAGGCAGCGGCGGCCCCCACAUGCCAGCUCGGGGACAGAGAGACACGUGUGCAGCAGAAGCCGCUGGAACACUGCGUGCCGCGAGGGUCUUGUCACCCCGCUGGGAGGUGUCCCCACCCCACCCUGCACCGUGUCCUUGGGAAGCAGAGGCCACGCGUGUCAGGGACCCGCCCAAGUCCACCCUGGCGAGGGCAUGACCAGGGGCAGAGGCGGCCAGGGCUUCCCCCGCUUGACGCCCGGGCCUGGCCUAUAGGGGACGCCAGCGCCGCCUGCCACCCUCAGGGCUCGGGCUGCCGGGCGAAGGGGGCGCCCCUGGGUGUGCACGAGGCCCACGUCCUCCUCCCACACUGA